UGCUUGGCUGGGAUUUGAACCCAGGACUCUUGUAUGCUAGACGAGCGCUUUACCAACUAAGGCCGAGG
rnacentral:tRNA from 1 species